rnacentral:lncRNA from 1 species
GGGGGCUCCUGGGGACCGAGGCGGCUCUGUCCGCGGUCCCGGCCCACCCGGUGCCUCGCUCCGUCCGUCCCCGGUCCACACCGCAGGCGCUCCCCGGGGCUGGGUUCCGGGGUGCGGGUCGGGGCCGCUGCUGUCCCCUGCCACCCACCACGUCCUCCGGGGUGCCCAGUCGGGCCGGCGGUGCCCGUCAGUAGGGACAGAAGGCUCCGUCCUGCCCGCGCCUCCACCCAUGUCCUGGAGCCCAGAGGCAGCUUCGCGCAAGCCAGGCGGCCGGGCCCUGCGGAAGCCCGGCCCUGCCGUCCGGGAGGACUAGAGGCCUCGCCUGGUCGGCGCCCGAGGCCGGCUCUCCGUCCAGCUGACCUGGGCACUCGCACUGCCAACACAGGCAAGGGCGGCCGAACUGUCUCCUGCCCGGCAAUUUCAGUUCCAGGCCUCUCAGCUGCCUGAGGCGGAUAGCUGCGGUGCACUCCCUGGGGAUUAUUGCAAUAACCGAAAAAGAAGCUGCUUCCAGAAGAAAGUUCAAAAUGCAGAAUGAGGACGUAGGGCUUGCGAUGUUAAAGGUCCCAGAGCUACAGUUAAAAAAUGCGGGGCUGGUGUCCUCUGAACAGACAGCUGCCAUGUGUACAAUCCGGCCCAGAAACGCCUCUCUCCUGCCUGGGCCGAGGCACCGGUGGUGGGAGCCAGGCAGCCACAAAAGCCUCUUGUCCCUUACAAGCAGAGAGGCAUCUGGAAAUCUAAUGGAGAGAUUCUCACUCAGAUUGUCCUGCAGACUCUCCUACCUCGAUCAAGGAGCGUUCCGCAAGGCGGAGAUAAGCAUUCUUUAUUUGAGGUAUUUUUUCUUCUUUUAUUUUUCUCUGUUUUUCGAUUUGAAAUUGGUUUUUAUUCGAAUUGGUUGUUAUUUGUGUACAUGA